AUGGACGCUAGCUACAGGCUUAACACAUGCAAGUCGAGGGGCAGCAUGUGUGUGCUUGCACACAAUGAUGGCGACCGGCGCACGGGUGAGUAACGCGUAUCCAACCUGGCCCGCAGUAGGGAACAGCCCGGCGAAAGUCGGAUUAAUGCCCUAUGUCUUCCUUUGCAGGCAUCCAAUGAGGAAGAAAGAUUUAUCGCUGCGGGAUGGGGAUGCGUCUGAUUAGCUUGUCGGCGGGGUAACGGCCCACCGAGGCGACGAUCAGUAGGGGUUCUGAGAGGAAGGUCCCCCACACUGGUACUGAGACACGGACCAGACUCCUACGGGAGGCAGCAGUGAGGAAUAUUGGUCAGUGGGCGAGAGCCUGAACCAGCCAAGUAGCGUGCAAGGGACGACUGCCCUAUGGGUUGUAAACUGCUUUUAUGCGGGGAUAAACUUCAGCACGUGUGCUGUUUUGCAGGUACCGCAUGAAUAAGGACCGGCUAAUUCCGUGCCAGCCGCGGC
rnacentral:rRNA from 1 species